CAUCCACUCUCCUAAAUUGUUCAGAAAUGCAAACUCCCCCAAAUUGUUUAGAAACGCAAACCACCACUACCACCUUCUUCUCCCUCUGCCAAAGCUUCCUGGGCAGGUUGUGCCCUCGCCGGUGUAACUGCAGGUUCUGGUCCCUUUGGAACCCUUUCUUGCAUAUUUCGCAUACGAAACGGUUCUUCGCCAUCAGCGACUUUGGCGAUAGAGCUAUUACUUCUACCUCUGGAUCUGCAUGCUUUAAUUCAUCAAGCUAGGAAGACUGUAAAAGGAUGCUCAUUACUUCCUCAGGUCGUUAGUCUUGAAGACUAGAGGGGGGCUUCAGUGAUUCCCAGAUCUGGAAACUUAUUCUCUUUUGAAUUUUGGUCGCUUAGGGUGGUCUUUAGCAUUCCUUUAUAUAUUUCAAAAGCGAAUUGAAAGCUUUGAAAGUAAAAUCAUAUAUUGGAAGGAUUUUAUUAUUGCUUUGAAACACAAUACAAACAACGCAUGAAUGAAUCUUUCACCAAUUAAAUUGGCAAAGGGUUGAUGAAGCUUAAUGAUUUGUCCAGAAGGAGCACGUUAAGCUCCAAAGAACUCGUGACAUCAGUAGUAGCCAAUAUUAUUAAAGGUUUCUUUCCAAGAAAUGUUAUAAGAUACUUUUGGCAGAAUUAGCUUCAUUGAAAGAAUUUGUGAACUUUAUCCUGUAUAUUGGAAAAUGGAUAGAUCAGAUACAUUUGGGUUUAUUAGUGGCGGAGGUUGUAUGUUGAUAUAUCUUUUCCCAGUGAUAAACUUCUGAAGGUAUGUCAAUUUUCUAGUAGCUAUGCGGUGACCUGCUUUGCUACCUCAACCUUCUAUUAGCUGUAUUACACGACAUCUGGAUAAUGAAUUUAAACAAGAAAGCUGCACAAUCUCCUUAUGAUGCUGAAUUUAGGAAAAAUGAUAACUUCGGUGAUACUACAUUAUGCUUGAAUGCAUUGGAUUUGGAGAAACCAUGACUAAUUAUAGAUGUACAAAGAGCAAUCUUGGGCCCAAUCCCAAUGGCAUAUGAUGAUGACUACAGCAAUUUGGGGUUUAAUAAGAAGAAAAAUUGUUGAGUGAACAAGUGUUUUUAUAUUCAAGUUUUUAGAAGACUUUAUGUAUUGUUUUUAGUGUUGAUGUGCCUAUAUAUAUUUUUUGGCAGGGUUGACAUAAUCAUAAGUAUUAUCAAAGUUCUAGUGGCAUCCAUUUACACUUAUUAGACGAUUAUUUAGACGAGUAUGAGUAGGUUAUUUAAUUACUUUACUUUGAAUAUUUUGUAUUAUUAGCAGAUUGCAAUUUAAAUGAAUAUAAGUCUAAGUUUAGUUAUUUA